CCUACGGGGUGCAGCAGUGGGGAAUAUUGGACAAUGGGCGAAAGCCUGAUCCAGCCAUGCCGCGUGUGUGAAGAAGGCCUUCGGGUUGUAAAGCACUUUCAGUGGGGAAGAAAGCCUUGGGGCUAAUACCCUCGAGGAAGGACAUCACCCACAGAAGAAGCACCGGCUAACUCCGUGCCAGCAGCCGCGGUAAUACGGAGGGUGCGGGCGUUAAUCGGAAUUACUGGGCGUAAAGCGCGCGUAGGCGGUCUGAUAAGCCGGUUGUGAAAGCCCCGGGCUCAACCUGGGAACGGCAUCCGGAACUGUCAGGCUAGAGUGCAGGAGAGGAAGGUAGAAUUCCCGGUGUAGCGGUGAAAUGCGUAGAGAUCGGGAGGAAUACCAGUGGCGAAGGCGGCCUUCUGGACUGACACUGACGCUGAGGUGCGAAAGCGUGGGUAGCAAACAGGAUUAGAUACCGUGUAGUC
rnacentral:rRNA from 1 species